UCUACAUGCAUUGGGACCUGCGCUCCAUACUGAGAUGGUAGGUCUACAUGCAUUGUGACCUGCGCUCCAUACUGAGAUGGUAGGUCUACAUGCAUUGUGACCUGCGCUCCAUACUGAGAUGGUAGGUCUACAUGCAUUGUGACCUGCGCUCCAUACUGAGAUGGUAGGUCUACAUGCAUUGUGACCUGCGCUCCAUACUGAGAUGGUAGGUCUACAUGCAUUGUGACCUGCGCUCCAUACUGAGAUGGUAGGUCUACAUGCAUUGUGACCUGCGCUCCAUACUGAGAUGGUAGGUCUACAUGCAUUGUGACCUGCGCUCCAUACUGAGAUGGUAGGUCUACAUGCAUUGUGACCUGCGCUCCAUACUGAGAUGGUAGGUCUACAUGCAUUGUGACCUGCGCUCCAUACUGAGAUGGUAGGUCUACAUGCAUUGUGACCUGCGCUCCAUACUGAGAUGGUAGGUCUACAUGCAUUGUGUCCUGCGCUCCAUACUGAGAUGGUAGGUCUACAUGCAUUGUGACCUGCGCUCCAUACUGAGAUGGUAGGUCUACAUGCAUUGUGACCUGCGCUCCAUACUGAGAUGGUAGGUCUACAUGCAUUGUGACCUGCGCUCCAUACUGAGAUGGUAGGUCUACAUGCAUUGUGACCUGCGCUCCAUACUGAGAUGGUAGGUCUACAUGCAUUGUGACCUGCGCUCCAUACUGAGAUGGUAUGUCUACAUGCAUUGUGACCUGCGCUCCAUACUGAGAUGGUAGGUCUACAUGCAUUGUGACCUGCGCUCCAUAAUGAGAUGGGCUGUCUGUCCCCACCCUGAGCAUGAUGAUUCUUCAUGCAGAGGCCGUAGAGAAUUUAGACAGCGCAUAUCAUUUAACAGUUCCAUUUCACCCCAUGCUGUUCAUAUAGAUAAUUGAACAGUUUCUCGCAGUUAUUUAUCCCGGGAAAGGGACUGGUUUUGGGCGGUAAAUCUGUGUAACCGGGUACCUGCCAUUCAGCCCUAUUAUCUAUGUUACCAGAGCCUCAUCUUCAUCUCGUCAAACUGUUUCUAUGGUGGAUUCACGGCCGCAGUUGAUGGAAUAUGCCAAAACUUUGGAGAUGACAAUAGAUGUCAGAGAGAGGCCAGUGGUUUCCAUCUGUGGCACAAAAAAAAUCCCUAAAUCAAAGUUUAUGACAAAUACAGCUCCAGAACCAGACAUAGACCAAUUCAUGAGUAUGUAUAAUAGACUUCGUCAUUCUUUGGAGGUAGAACCGAAAUGUGCAUUUCAUCUCUAGGACAGGAAAUUAAAUAGUGGUGGCAACUUCCUCUGGGGGUGGGAGGGGCCCUUUUUUAAGAAGAGGAAUUAUAUACAUAGGUGGGGGUUUACUUUGUGUCUGUGGUAAAUAGUGACUGUCACUUGGCACCUCCUAUAUGAGUGACACUCAUUUUCUCACCUUGUUUCU